rnacentral:rRNA from 1 species
UACGAGGGGGGCGAGCGUUGUUCGGAAUUAUUGGGCGUAAAGGGUGCGUAGGCGGUUUGGUAAGUCUUGUGUGAAAUCUUCGGGCUCAACUCGAAGUCUGCACGAGAAACUGCCGGGCUUGAGUAUGGGAGAGGUGAGUGGAAUUCCCGGUGUAGCGGUGAAAUGCGUAGAUAUCAGGAGGAACACCUGUGGUGUAGACAGCUUACUGGACCACUUCUGACGCUGAGACACGAAAGCGUGGGUAGCAAACAGG